rnacentral:rRNA from 1 species
GUGCCAGCCGCCGCGGUAAUACAGAGGGUGCAAGCGUUAAUCGGAAUUACUGGGCGUAAAGGGCGCGUAGGCGGGAAAAUAAGUCAGAUGUGAAAGCCCUGGGCUUAACCUGGGAACUGCAUAUGAAACUGUUUUUCUAGAGAGGAGUAGAGGGUAGUGGAAUUUCCGGUGUAGCGGUGAAAUGCGUAGAUAUCGGAAGGAACACCAGUGGCGAAGGCGGCUACCUGGACUCCAACUGACGCUGAGGCGCGAAAGCGUGGGGAGCGAACAGGAUUAGAUACCCUGGUAGUCCACGCUGUAAACGAUGAGAACUAGCUGUUGGUAGGCGUCAUGCCUGUCGGUAGCGUAGCUAACGCGCUAAGUUCUCCGCCUGGGGAGUACGGCCGCAAGGUUAAA